CUUAAGAGGAAAGUGGUCGAAUUAAUUAAUGAGAGUUCUCUUAGAGUUAACGAGCUUCCAAAAUAAUUUAAAUCGAAAAAAGUCUAACGAAGGGUAGGGGCAUAGUUCUAGUGAAAAUACAUCAAAUCGUUUAAAAAUAUUUUUCAGUGUCCAUAUCCAGAGAGGAAGAUAGCAUUUGUAUGCUGGAAAAGCGAUCGUCCACGUUCCUUUAAGUCAAACAAAUGACUUCAGAAUAACAAAAAAUACAUUUUCGCGUCCCUGUUCAUACGUGGAAAUAAGUCCUCUGCUCCAGUAAAAUGCUAUGAAUCAUAAAACUUUCUUAAAUGGAUGCUAUUCAAAAUAUAAAUGGUAAUUGUGUUUGAAAAGAUAAAAGCAACAUGCUAUUUAUAUAAAUGAAUACACGACAAGCGUCAAUAAACAUGAAGAGUAAUUGUGCACAAGUUUUCCUUUUAACAACAUAGCUUUUUGAGACGAGCAAGUCCGCACGAGACCCAAUUAUGGCUGUUCCAAAACUUCGUAAAUUAGACGAGAUGACAGCGCGGAACCAACUGACCGCGACAUUCCGAGUCCUGCAACUUCGAAGAAUGCCUCAUUAAGAUGUGCUGCGGCCGCGUUGUCAGCGUAAUGGGUCACCAAGAGAUUUAUUCCGCAUUUUGAACGAGGCAGAUACCGGACAAUAAAUUCGUUUGAAACGCCUACACACGAAUUAUCAUUUUACAUUUAAAAUUAUUUAUAUUCAAGUUACCCAGCUAAAUGUAAAUAUUCAUACAAUUAUGUAAGUAGGUAUUGAAGUGAAUUAAAAUGUGUUUGAAUAUAAAUGUUAUGUUUAUUAUUGGACUCCGUUAGGCGGCAUAAUCCGAUCGGGAGCAAUCACGACGGGUUUAAAUGCCGAUGGCAGUGACUGCGGACUCGAGUGCUCUGCAAACAAUAUCUUAUUUCAAGUUCUAUGG